rnacentral:rRNA from 1 species
AAUGAACGCUGGCGGCAUUCCUAACACAUGCAAGUCGAACGAAGGCUUCGGCCUUAGUGGCGCACGGGUGCGUAACGCGUGGGAAUCUGCCCUCAGGUUCGGAAUAACAGCGAGAAAUUGCUGCUAAUACCGGAUGAUAUCGCGAGAUCAAAGAUUUAUCGCCUGAGGAUGAGCCCGCGUAGGAGUAGCUAGUUUGUGUGGUAAAGGCGCACCAAGGCGACGAUCCUUAGCUGGUCUGAGAGGAUGAUCAGCCACACUGGGACUGAGACACGGCCCAGACUCCUACGGGAGGCAGCAGUGGGGAAUAUUGGACAAUGGGCGAAAGCCUGAUCCAGCAAUGCCGCGUGAGUGAUGAAGGCAUUAGGGUUGUAAAGCUCUUUUACCCGGGAUGAUAAUGACAGUACCGGGAGAAUAAGCUCCGGCUAACUCCGUGCCAGCCGCCGCCGUAA